rnacentral:rRNA from 1 species
GACGAACGCUGGCGGCGUGCUUAACACAAGCAAGUCGAACGGUAAGGCCCUUCGGGGUACACGAGUGGCGAACGGGUGAGUAACACGUGGGUGAUCUGCCCUGCACUUCGGGAUAAGCCUGGGAAACUGGGUCUAAUACCGGAUAGGACUCCUGGCUUCAUGGUUGGGGGUGAAGGCUUUUGCGGUGUGGGAUGGGCCCGCGGCCUAUCAGCGUGUUGGUGGGGUAAUGGCCUACCAAGGCGACGACGGGUAGCCGGCCUGAGAGGGUGACCGGUCACACUGGGACUGAGAUACGGCCCAGACUCCUACGGGAGGCAGCAGUGGGGAAUAUUGCACAAUGGGCGCAAGCCUGAUGCAGCGACGCCGCGUGAGGGAUGACGGCCUUCGGGUUGUAAACCUCUUUCAGCUAUGACGAAGCGCAAGUGACGGUAGUAGCAGAAGAAGGACCGGCCAACUACGUGCCAGCAGCCGCCGUAA